UACGUAGGGGGCAAGCGUUGUCCGGAUUUAUUGGGCGUAAAGAGCUCGUAGGUGGUUCGGUAAGUCGGAUGUGAAAUCUCCAGGCUCAACCUGGAGGGGUCAUUCGAUACUGCCGUGACUAGAGUUCGGUAGGGGAGUGUGGAAUUCCUGGUGGAGCGGUGAAAUGCGCAGAUAUCAGGAGGAACACCUAUUGCGAAGGCAGCUCGCUGGGACGUUACUGACGCUGAGACGCGAAAGCGUGGGGAGCAAACAGG
rnacentral:rRNA from 1 species